UACGAAGGGGGCUAGCGUUGCUCGGAAUUACUGGGCGUAAAGCGCACGUAGGCGGAUUGUUAAGUCGGGGGUGAAAUCCUGGAGCUCAACUCCAGAACUGCCUUCGAUACUGGCGAUCUCGAGUUCGGGAGAGGUGAGUGGAACUGCGAGUGUAGAGGUGAAAUUCGUAGAUAUUCGCAAGAACACCAGUGGCGAAGGCGGCUCACUGGCCCGAUACUGACGCUGAGGUGCGAAAGCGUGGGGAGCAA
rnacentral:rRNA from 1 species